rnacentral:rRNA from 1 species
UUUAUUGUUUUUGUUUAUUUUUUAGUAUUGCAUACUAAUUAAGUUUUUUUUUUUAUAAAAAAAAUUGGAAAAAAAAGGUAGAAUUUAUUAUUUAUGAAAUGUUAGAAAUUUUGUAUAAAGUAAUUUUGUUUUGAUAAGACGACUUUUUUGAUAACUAAGUUUUUUUUUUUUAUAGAAAUUUUAGAUUUUUUUGUUAUUUUUAGAUUUUUUAUUAUUUGAAGUUUUUUUAUUUUUUGUUUUAUAACUUAUUUUCUUUUUUGUUAAAUUUUUUUUUUAUUAAAUUUUUUUUAGUAAUUUUUUUUUCUUUUUUAUAUUAAUUUUUUUUAUUAAGUUUUUUUUUUAUAUAUAAACGAAUAAUUUGAUAUUAGAUUAAAUGUUUUUUAAAAACUUAGGUUUUAAAUUUGAAACUAGCUUCUGCUCUAUGAUUAAUUUUAAAUGGCAGUCUUAGCGUGAGGACAUUAAGGUAGCAUAAUAAUUUGUGCUUUUAUUGAGUUCUAGUAUGAAUGAAGUUUUUGAUCUAUGAUUUUUUUUUUUUUUUUUGAAUUAUUUUCUUUUUAAGAAUUAUAAGUUUUUUUUUUACAAAGAUAAGUCUUUGGAAAUUUUUUUAUUAUAUUUAUUUAGGGUAAAUUUUUAUUUAAUUUUUUUUCUAAUUUAAUUUUAAAAAUUACUCCAGAGUUAACAGAAAAUCAUGUUUUUUCCAGAUGUUAUGGAUAAAUAAGUUUUACAUCGAUGUUGUAUUAUGUUUUUUUAAAAAAGGAGAAUUUUUAAUUAUUUAAGACUGUUCUUCUUUUAAAUAAAUAUACGUGAUAUUAGUUUAAUUCAUUGUGAGAUAGAAUUGUUUCUCUUGUUAAGAAAUUUUUUUAUUGUUUUUAGUACGAAAGGAAUGAAAUUUUUUAAUUUUAAAUUUUUUUGUUAAUUU